rnacentral:rRNA from 1 species
CACGUAGGGCGCAAGCGUUGUCCGGAAUUAUUGGGCGUAAAGAGCUCGUAGGCGGUCUGUUGCGUCUGCUGUGAAAACUCGGGGCUUAACCCCGAGCCUGCAGUGGAUACGGGCAGACUAGAGGUAGGUAGGGGAGAAUGGAAUUCCCGGUGUAGCGGUGAAAUGCGCAGAUAUCGGGAGGAACACCGGUGGCGAAGGCGGUUCUCUGGGGCCUUACCUGACGCUGAGGAGCGAAAGCGUGGGGGAGCGAACAGG